GGCCGCGAGGUGUGGAGUCGCGGCAAGGGAUGAGUAACGAGGCCCUCCGUGGAAUCUCGGUUUUGAAGAGGGCGCGCGUUCACGUUGGGCCCUUCGCAUCUGUACACGCUCGAGGCCCGCAGAAAGGAUACUGUGUCCGAUGAGAUAAAGCAUGUGACGGUGCUUUGUAACCGGAAAGUGCCUUUCAAAACUCCUGAUUUGCUGCUGGUACCUGGUAGAGAUGGAACACUUGACCAUGCGACAUCAAGUGACUGUGUGAAUAAUCAAACCAACCAUUAUGACCUGGUGUUAUCUGAUUCACCAGACCAUACAACUGGAUGAGCACAACAGCAGUCCACGCCCUACAAGACUGGGAACACCGUCACAACUAAACUGAACAAGCAGGACUGAAUGACACCACCCCAUGAUGAUUUUGUAGCUGAUGGGAGGAAAUUGCAUAGUGGAAAAGAGUGAGGCCUGUGAGCUUACAAAAAUCUGUUUACUUUCUCAGUUGCUUUUGGAAGAGACCGAUGCCUCAGCAGAAUGGGGGGACCCCAGAUAUUCAAGCAUCUCUCCAACAUAUCUCCCUCUCCUAGAUCUUGGCCCUGCAAUCUUCACCAAUUUGACAGCUUUUCAGUGCCUUUAAAGAAAUACAGUUUUCUUUUUCUUGGUCCACUUUUCUAGUUGUUGUCAGCUAAAGCAUGAUCAAAACCCACCUAGUUCUUCAUUACCAGAAGUGUAACUGCAGAGUACUUUUUUUUUUAAUAUAUUUUUUAAGUAAUCUCUAUACCAAAUAUGGGGCUUGAACUCACA